GAUGAACGCUAGCUACAGGCUUAACACAUGCAAGUCGAGGGGUAACGAGAGGAAAGCUUGCUUUCCUUGUCGACGACCGGCGCACGGGUGAGUAACGCGUAUCCAACCUGCCCCCAACUAAGGAAUAACCUUGCGAAAGUAAGACUAAUACCUUAUAAUUUCCUCAGAUGUCAUCUGACGAGGAAUAAAGAUUUAUCGGCUGUGGAUGGGGAUGCGUCUGAUUAGCUUGUUGGCGGGGUAACGGCCCACCAAGGCAACGAUCAUUAGGGGUUCUUAGAGGAAGGGCCCCCACAACGGAACUGAGACACGGUCCGGACUCCUACGGGAGGCAUCAGUGAGGAAUAUUGGUCAAUGGGCGAGAGCCUGAACCAGCCAAGUCGCGUGAAGGAAGAAUGUCCUAUGGAUUGUAAACUUCUUUUGUAGGGGGGUAAAGUUAGCCACGUGUGGUUAUUUGUAGGUACUGUAUGAAUAAGGACCGGCUAAUUCCGUGCCAGCCGCCGCGGUAA
rnacentral:rRNA from 1 species